AUGGCGGAGCGGGAGGGGCGGCGGCUCCUGCGGCUGGUGCAGGAGGGGAGGCUGGAGCUGCUGAGGGCUGAGCUGCGUCCGGAGGACAUUCCCGAGGCCAGGAGCUGGCGCUGGGGACGCCUGGGGGACACCCUGGUGCACCACGCAGCGCGCCUGGGGCACAGGGACGUGCUGGAAUUCCUGCUGCGGGAGCUGGGGAUGGACCUGGAGGCGGCCAACGGAGACUACAAGAGGCCCCUCCACGAGGCGGCGUCCAUGGGACACGGGCAGUGCGUGUCCUUCCUCCUGGACAGCGGGGCCAGCGUGGACUGCCUGAAAAAGGGCGACUGGACUCCCCUCAUGAUGGCUUGCACCAGGAGGAACCUGCAGGUGAUCAGAUCCCUGGUGGAGCACGGAGCCAACCCGCUGCUGAGGAACAAGGAUGGCUGGAAUUGCUUCCACAUUGCCAGCAGGGAGGGGCACCCCGAGGUGCUCCGCUACCUCCUGGAUGUGUCCCCAGGGAUCUGGGACACGGAGAGCACCGUCAGGAGGACGCCCCUGCACACGGCAGCGAUGCACGGCUGUUCCCAGGUCGUGGAGCUGCUCCUGGAGCGGUGCCACUACCAGCCUGACAGCAGGGACAGGUGUGGAGUCACUCCCUUUAUGGACGCAAUCCAGAAUGGGCACCUCGACAUCGCCCGGAUGCUCCUGGAGAAACACCAGGCGUGUCCCACAGCCAUGGAUGCCCUGGGAGCUCAGGCUCUGCACAGGGCAGCGGUGACAGCCCAGGAUGGAUCCAUCCAGUUCCUGGUGUCUGAGCUGGGGGUGGAUGUCAAUGCAAGAGCCACGUCCCUGCAGAUCCCAGCCCUGCACUACGCGGCCAAGGAAGGACACGCACACACCAUCCAGACGCUGCUGGCCCUCGGCGCCGACAUCCAGGCCAAGGACGGGAAGGGCCGUUCCGGUAAGGAAGGAGCUGCUCCUUCUCCCAACUCCUUCCAUAAGGGCUCCCCAACCUCCAGGGCACCUCGUGCCAUGCCUGCCCAGCACAGCAUGCAGGGAGAUCCCGAAUCCACAGAUCCCAAAGGCUCUGGGAGCAGCGUGACGUGAAAACAGGGUUUGGGGUUUGGUUUUUUCCCAUUUUCAUUCACUAAUUUUCGCCUUGCUGGAAUUCCUGGUGCCUGGCUCGGGGCUUUUCCCUCGGGGAAGAACAGAGUUGUUCCUUGGGGAAAGAGCAGGGAUGCAAACCAGGCUUUCUCUUUAUCCACCUUCCUGGUUUUCCCACGAGACUUCCCGGAGCUUCGAUUCUUCGCCUCGCUGGAAUUUGGCUGGAAUGGGCCCGUCGGGAGCAGGUUGGGGGGACGAGUGCAGGGAUUUCAGGAGCUCUCCAAGCCUCGAUUUCUCAGCAAACAGCCCAGAAAUGGCUCAUGAGCAAAUAAUAAUGCAGGGCUGGGACGUAAAUAGAGUUGCCAUAGUGAUGCUGGCGAGCCGGGGUCGGCAUUCCCGGCGGGAGAGGCUCCGUCAGCUCUUCCAGCAGCAUCUCCCUCUCGGGAACAAACCCCACGGAAAUGGCCUCAGCCACUGCCAAAACUGGCAGCUCUGAACCAGUCUUGGCGUUGGGUUAAAAACACCUGGGGGCUUCUCUCCAUCCAGCCCCUCCCGGAGGGAAUCCCAGCUCUGCCCAGCUCAUCCAGCCCUGGGAUGUUUUCCAUGGCUCCAGGUGCUGUGUCUGUGUCACUGUGUCCUUGGGAAGCUCCUCAUCCAUCCCCACUGGCACCCGCAGGGAUUAUCCACAGGGAUCAGGAUGCACAUGGGAUCAGACAUGGGGAAGACAGGUUCUCCAGGGAGGCUGCUGGAUUCCCAUCCCUGGGAACACCCUGGGCCGGGUUGGACGGGGCUGGGAGCACACCGGGAUAGGGGAAGGUGCUGGGGUUGGAAUGGGCUGAUCCUGGGGUGGCUCCCAGGCCGUUCCUGGAUCCCGAGGCCGUGCCAUCCCCAGCCCUGCACGCGGCCGUGGCCGGGCAGCGGGCGGGGGCCGUGCGGCUCCUGCUGCGUGCCGGGCUCCGGGACGGCGCGGAUGGCUCGGGAACGCUGGCUUGGCAGCUCGCCAGGAAGCCACAGGUCAUCCAGGCAUUCCAGGAG